AUUGAACGCUGGCGGCAGGCCUAACACAUGCAAGUCGAACGGUAACAGGAAGAAGCUUGCUUCUUUGCUGACGAGUGGCGGACGGGUGAGUAAUGUCUGGGAAACUGCCUGAUGGAGGGGGAUAACUACUGGAAACGGUAGCUAAUACCGCAUAACGUCGCAAGACCAAAGGGGGGGACCUUCGGGCCUCUUGCCAUCGGAUGUGCCCAGAUGGGAUUAGCUAGUAGGUGGGGUAACGGCUCACCUAGGCGACGAUCCCUAGCUGGUCUGAGAGGAUGACCAGCCACACUGGAACUGAGACACGGUCCAGACUCCUACGGGAGGCAGCAGUGGGGAAUAUUGCACAAAGGGCGCAAGCCUGAUGCAGCCAUGCCGCGUGUAUGAAGAAGGCCUUCGGGUUGUAAAGUACUUUCAGCGGGGAGGAAGGGAGUAAAGUUAAUACCUUUGCUCAUUGACGUUACCCGCAGAAGAAGCACCGGCUAACUCCGUG
rnacentral:rRNA from 1 species